AGUAAAAUAAGCCUCGAUUUAAAAGGAUUAUCGUGAUAGGAUAAAUAAUGUAAUGUAUUACUUUUACUA
rnacentral:tRNA from 1 species